UAGUGAGCUACAUGAUUCUGU
ensembl:piRNA 21ur-886 ncRNA